rnacentral:rRNA from 1 species
GCUUAGAGAGGGGUCAAUGUCCUAUCAGCUAGUUGGUAGGGUAAUGGCCUACCAAGGCUAAGACGGGUAGCCGGCCUGAGAGGGUGGUCGGCCACACUGGGACUGAGACACUGCCCAGACUCCUACGGGAGGCUGCAGUCGAGAAUCUUUCGCAAUGCCCGAAAGGGUGACGAAGCGACGCCGCGUGUGGGAAGAAGGCCUUCGGGUUGUAAACCACUGUCGGGAGUUAAGAAAUGUAAGGGUGUUAAUAGCAUCCUUACUUGACUAAGGCUCCGGAGGAAGCCACGGCUAACUCUGUGCCAGCAGCCGCGGUAAUACAGAGGCGGCAAGCGUUGUUCGGAAUUAUUGGGCGUAAAGAGCACGUAGGCGGCCUUGUAAGUCAGUUGUGAAAGCCUUCUGCUUAACGGAAGAACAGCAUCUGAUACUGCAAGGCUAAAGUACGGAAGGG